ACUGAGCAGAAGAGAAACUCGGUCUUUUCUUUCCUCCUGACUUCUUCAGUCUGCAGAAGGAGCUGAAACUGAGAGCACUUCAUGCUCUGCUGCUCCGUGAGGAUAUCUUUGGCCAUGUAGCCGUCGCUUGCAUCUUUCCUAUCUCUGGAGGAGGAAGUGGAGUUAAAACACAUCUGCCAAGGGAUGUGUCACUCAGUCCUUCUGGCCCGGUGUCAGACGUCAUGUGGGGGGGGGGCCACGCCCACCCGGAGAGGACAGGAAGCCCCCUGCAGUCUGCACUCGGGGUCCAGCGGGCCUGCAGUGAACAGCGCCGGGUCUACACAGACCUGCCUAUUGAGCCCCAGAUUCCAAAAGCAACCACAAAAACGUCAAAAUUCUUUUUCGCUUUUGGUGUCUGUUGCUUGGUUGGCAGGUUCUGUGGUUGGCUUGCCGUUGAAAAAACCACCUUUUAUUAAAGCUCUUCAAUGCCGUACGCCAUUUUCAACUUAACACCAAAAAAAUAAAACAAUAAAACAAUAAAAUCAUGGAACGUAAAA